AGUACGUCAUAUUUUUCCUUAUAAAUUCGUAGACAGAUGUAACAUUGACAAGUCUUAUUUAAAACGACAUAUCAAAAUGAAAGAUUUUAGAUACCCCCAUUCAACUUACAAUUUAAUUUCGAAAUUCGAUGCAAUACAGAACAGUGUUAAAUUAAAAAAAGGUCAACUUUACAUUUGAAAAUUCAUUUCCUUCAAACAGGAAAUUUUAUCAUUAUUUUUUUUUAUAACUGGUGUAUCGAUUGAACUGGCAUUUGCAUCAACAAAAGGAAGUAAUUGGCAUAUUUUGUGCAGGCUUAGUAAUAUCUGUAAUAAAGAUGAAGAAUUAUUGUCUAACGUGUAUAUCAUUCUGUCAUAUUUUACAUCUCAUAGAGUCUGCCAGUUAUACUUCAUCACAAGAGACCAUUUGUGAAUGUUCGACUAUCACCUCAUUGCUGAUAACCAUUGUGUUCCUAGUAGCUGGAAUGGCAAUAUAUGUACGUAAGUACUGUUUGUAUUGUAGGGAAUAAAAACAUUUCAAACAACCAUUGGUCUAUCAAUCUGUU